GAUGAACGCUGGCGGCGUGCCUAAUACAUGCAAGUCGAACGAACAGACGAGGAGCUUGCCUCUCUGACGUGAGCGGCGGACGGGGGGGUAACACGUGGAUAACCUACCUAUUAUACUGGGAUAACUUCGGGGAAACCGAGCUAAUACCGGGUAUUAUACUGAACCGCAUGAUUCAAUAGUGUAAGACGGUUUUGCUGUCACUUGUAGAUGGAUCCGCGCCGCAUUAUCUAGUUGGUAAUGUAACGGCCUACCAAGGCAACGAUGGUAAGCCGGCCUGAGAGGGUGGUCGGCCACACUGGAACUGAGACACGGUCCAGACUCCUACGGGAGGCAGCAGUAGGGAAUCUUCCGCAAUGGGCGAAAGCCUGACGGAGCAACGCCGCGUGAGUGAUGAAGGUCUUCGGAUCGUAAAACUCUGUUAUUAGGGAAGAACAAAAGUGUAAGUAACUCCGCACGUCUUGACGGUACCUAAUCAGAAAGCCCCGGCUAACUACGUG
rnacentral:rRNA from 1 species